AUUGAACGCUGGCGGCAGGCUUAACACAUGCAAGUCGAGCGGAGAUGAGGUGCUUGCACCUUAUCUUAGCGGCGGACGGGUGAGUAAUGCUUAGGAAUCUGCCUAUUAGUGGGGGACAACAUUCCGAAAGGAAUGCUAAUACAGCAUACGCCCUACGGGGGACAGCAGGGGAUCUUCGGUCCUUGCGCUAAUAGAUGAGGCUAAGUCGGAUUAGCUAGUUGGUGGGGUAAAGGCCUACCAAGGCGACGAUCUGUAGCGGGUCUGAGAGGAUGAUCCGCCACACUGGGACUGAGACACGGCCCAGACUCCUACGGGAGGCAGCAGUGGGGAAUAUUGGACAAUGGGCGGAAGCCUGAUCCAGCCAUGCCGCGUGUGUGAAGAAGGCCUUUUGGUUGUAAAGCACUUUAAGCGAGGAGGAGGCUACCUGGAUUAAUACUCUAGGAUAGUGGACGUUACUCGCAGAAUAAGCACCGGCUAACUCUGUGCCAGCCGCCGCCGUAAAAC
rnacentral:rRNA from 1 species